rnacentral:rRNA from 1 species
UGGGGGAUAUUGCACAAUGGGCGCAAGCCAGAUGCAGCGACGCCGCGUGGGGGAUGAAGGCCUUCGGGUUGUAAACUUCUUUUGCUCUGAACAAGGCGCACUUUGGGGUGUGUUGAGUGUAGGGGUUGAUUAGCGCCGGCUAACUACGUGCCAGCAGCCGCGGUAAUACGUAGGGCGCGAGCGUUGUCCGGAAUUAUUGGGCGUAAAGGGCUUGUAGGUGGCUGGUUGCGUCUGUCGUGAAAGCUCAUGGCUUAACUGUGGGUUUGCGGUGGGUACGGGCUGGCUUGAGUGCAGUAGGGGAGGCUGGAAUUCCUGGUGUAGCGGUGGAAUGCGCAGAUAUCAGGAGGAAUACCGGUGGCGAAGGCGGGUCUCUGGGCUGUUACUGACACUGAGGAGCGAAAGCAUGGGGAGCGAACAGG